rnacentral:rRNA from 1 species
UACGUAGGGUGCGAGCGUUGUCCGGAAUUAUUGGGCGUAAAGGGCUCGUAGGCGGUCUGUCGCGUUGUUCGUGAAAACUCACAACUCAAUUGUGGGCGUGCGGGCGAUACGGGCAGACUGGAGUACUGCAGGGGAGACUGGAAUUCCUGGUGUAGCGGUGGAAUGCGCAGAUAUCAGGAGGAACACCGGUGGCGAAGGCGGGUCUCUGGGCAGUAACUGACGCUGAGGAGCGAAAGCGUGGGGAGCGAACAGG